rnacentral:lncRNA from 1 species
CCCCUGACCCCACCCUCCACGGCCCUCUCUGUCGCAGGCAGCUGCGUUUCUUGUGGGCUGAGCCAGGGCUGGGAGGGUGAACAGUUCCUUCUCAGAUGGGCAAAGAGGACUUGUCCUGAUGGCUCUCUCAAUCUCUGCAAGGUCUCUGUUCACGUGUAUGUCCUGCUGAGUCGUAGUUCGGAGGAAGAGAAAAAUAGUCCAUUACAGACGUCGUAAAAUGUCUCUCUCCUCAUCAUGGAUCAAAGCUGUUUUCAUCAUUUCCUUGGCAGGACCUCUUCAUUCUGGUGAGUAGAUUUUCAUCUGCAGUGAAACAUGUUACAUAUCUUAGAAAGUGCAGGAAAAAGUUCUGUAAUCCAGGAAUGGAGGAGCUUGUGUUUUAUUGGGUUU